rnacentral:rRNA from 1 species
UACAGAGGGUGCGAGCGUUAAUCGGAAUUACUGGGCGUAAAGGGUGCGUAGGUGGCUUAUUAAGUCAGAUGUGAAAUCCCCGGGCUUAACCUGGGAAUUGCAUAUGAUACUGGUAAGCUAGAGUGUGGAAGAGGGAAGUGGAAUUUCCGGUGUAGCGGUGAAAUGCGUAGAUAUCGGAAGGAACAUCAGUGGCGAAGGCGACUUCCUGGUCCAUUACUGACACUGAUGCGCGAAAGCUAGGGGAGCAAACGGG